rnacentral:lncRNA from 10 species
UUCUUUGUCUAUUCACAGCUCAAAUCCUAUAAAAGACUAUAUCCAAGAGUACCAGAAAAACAGAACAUUUCCAAUAAAGUGGAGAUGGUGCAUGAAUAACAGGGGGUGACGUUCUGCAGUUCUGGAGGCUGGAAUUCCUAGACCAGAGUGUCAGCACAGUCAACUUCUGCAUAGGAGCUGAAUUUCCUACAUUCGAACUACCACUCUUUACUUGAUCUUAGCCAAAAGGCUUAGAGAUGAUCUCUCCAAACCGCUCUUGUCAGAAUCUGCCUGGGUGAGCCUUUUUGAAAUAUAUCUCCUCGGCUCCUUCUCUCCUCUAGACACCAACCGUUUAUUCUUAAGGCCUGGGCCCAAAGCUCUCAUCUGUUCUGUAUUCUGUUAUUUAAUAUCCACAAGGCUUCAUUGCUAAAUAUUCUACUUGUUCCCUACCAUCAA